rnacentral:rRNA from 1 species
GAUGAACGCUGGCGGCGUGCCUAAUACAUGCAAGUCGAGCGAACAGAUGAGGAGCUUGCUCCUCUGACGUUAGCGGCGGACGGGUGAGUAACACGUGGAUAACCUACCUAUAAGACUGGGAUAACUUCGGGAAACCGGAGCUAAUCCCGGAUAAUAUAUUGAACCGCAUGGUUCAAUAGUGAAAGACGGUUUUGCUGUCACUUAUAGAUGGAUCCGCGCCGCAUUAGCUAGUUGGUAAGGUAACGGCUUACCAAGGCAACGAUGCGUAGCCGACCUGAGAGGGUGAUCGGCCACACUGGAACUGAGACACGGUCCAGACUCCUACGGGAGGCAGCAGUAGGGAAUCUUCCGCAAUGGGCGAAAGCCUGACGGAGCAACGCCGCGUGAGUGAUGAAGGUCUUCGGAUCGUAAAACUCUGUUAUUAGGGAAGAACAAAUGUGUAAGUAACUAUGCACGUCUUGACGGUACCUAAUCAGAAAGCCACGGCUAACUACGUG